UUGGGGUGUCCGUUAAUCAGGCAAACGAGCGGACUGUUAAUCCGCCCCUGCAGGUUCGAAUCCUGCCACCCCAGCCAG
rnacentral:tRNA from 1 species